rnacentral:rRNA from 1 species
CCUACGGGGGGCAGCAGUGGGGAAUAUUGGACAAUGGGGGGAACCCUGAUCCAGCCAUGCCGCGUGUGUGAAGAAGGCCCUCGGGUUGUAAAGCACUUUCAGUGAGGAAGAACGCCUGGUGGUUAAUACCCAUCAGGAAAGACAUCACUCACAGAAGAAGCACCGGCUAACUCCGUGCCAGCAGCCGCGGUAAUACGGAGGGUGCGAGCGUUAAUCGGAAUUACUGGGCGUAAAGCGCGCGUAGGUGGCUUGAUAAGCCGGUUGUGAAAGCCCCGGGCUCAACCUGGGAACGGCAUCCGGAACUGGCAAGCUAGAGUGCAGGAGAGGAAGGUAGAAUUCCCGGUGUAGCGGUGAAAUGCGUAGAGAUCGGGAGGAAUACCAGUGGCGAAGGCGGCCUUCUGGACUGACACUGACACUGAGGUGCGAAAGCGUGGGUAGCAAACAGGAUUAGAUACCCGUGUAGUC